CUUGGUCAUUUAGAGGAAGUAAAAGUCGUAACAAGGUUUCCGUAGGUGAACCUGCGGAAGGAUCAUUCAUAAUCAAGUGUUUUUAUGGCACUUUCAAAAAUCACAUAUCCACCUUGUGUGCAACGUCAUCUCACUGGGGGCCACCGGCUGUCAAAAGCCGUCUGGUCACCUUUGGGAUUUACAUCUACUCAGAACUUUAGUGAUUUUGUCUGAAACAUAUUAUGAAUACUUAAUUCAAAAUACAACUUUCAACAACGGAUCUCUUGGCUCUCGCAUCGAUGAAGAACGCAGCGAAAUGCGAUACGUAAUGUGAAUUGCAGAAUUCAGUGAAUCAUCGAAUCUUUGAACGCACCUUGCGCCCCUUGGUAUUCCGAGGGGCACACCCGUUUGAGUGUCGUGAACAUCCUCAACCUGCUUGGUUUUUUCUCAAACCCAAGUAGGCUUGGAAUUUGGAGGUUUUCUGCCGGCCUCCUCCGAAGCCAGCUCCUCUUAAAUCUAUUAGUGGGAUCCGCUUUGCCAGAUCCUCGACGUUGAUAAGAUGUUUCUACGUCUUGGGUUUUGCUCGCGAAGGACCUGCUUCUAACCGUCCCACCAGGGACAAUGUUCGAGCCGAUCGCCCCUUCACCGGGUCGAGAAGCUUUCGACCCAUGAAACCUUGACCUCAAAUCGGGUGAGACUACCCGCUGAACUUAAGCAUAUCAAUAAGCGGAGGA
rnacentral:rRNA from 1 species